rnacentral:rRNA from 1 species
UACGUAGGCAGCGAGCGUUGUUCGGAGUUACUGGGCGUAAAGCGUGCGUAGGCGGUUGUCUAAGUCUGGUGUGAAAUCUCCCGGCUCAACUGGGAGGGUGCGCCGGAAACUGGAUGACUGGAGUGCCGGAGAGGUAAGCGGAAUUCCUGGUGUAGCGGUGAAAUGCGUAGAGAUCAGGAGGAACACUUGUGGUGUAGACAGCUUACUGGACGGUGACUGACGCUGAGGCACGAAAGCGUGGGUAGCAAACAGG